rnacentral:rRNA from 1 species
ACGUAAUAGAUACCCGGGUAGUCCACGCCCUAAACGAUGUCUACUAGUUGUUGGUGGAGUAAAAUCCAUGAGUAAACGCAGCUAAACGCGUGAAGUAGACCGCCUGGGGAGUACGGUCGCAAGAUUAAAACUCGAAGGAAUUGACGGGGGCCCGCACAAGCGGUGGAUUAUGUGGAUUAAUUCGAUGCAACGCGAAAAACCUUACCUGGCCUUGACAUGCCACUAACGAAGCAGAGAUGCAUUAGGUGCCCGUAAGGGAAAGUGGACACAGGUGCUGCAUGGCUGUCGUCAGCUCGUGUCGUGAGAUGUUGGGUUAAGUCCCGCAACGAGCGCAACCCUUGCCAUUAAUUGCCAUCAUUUAGUUGGGCACUUUAAUGGGACUGCCGGUGACAAACCGGAGGAAGGUGUGGAUGACGUCAAGUCCUCAUGGCCCUUAUGGCCAGGGCUUCACACGUAAUACAAUGGUCGGUACAGAGAGUUGCCAACCCGCGAGGGGUAGCUAAUCUCAGAAAGCCGAUCGUAGUCCGGAUUGUUCUCUGC